UAGGGAAUCUUCGGCAAUGGACGAAAGUCUGACCGAGCAACGCCGCGUGAGUGAAGAAGGUUUUCGGAUCGUAAAACUCUGUUGUUAGAGAAGAACAAGGACGUUAGUAACUGAACGUCCCCUGACGGUAUCUAACCAGAAAGCCACGGCUAACUACGUGCCAGCAGCCGCGGUAAUACGUAGGUGGCAAGCGUUGUCCGGAUUUAUUGGGCGUAAAGCGAGCGCAGGCGGUUUCUUAAGUCUGAUGUGAAAGCCCCCGGCUCAACCGGGGAGGGUCAUUGGAAACUGGGAGACUUGAGUGAAGAAGAGGAGAGUAGAAUUCCAUGUGUAGCGGUGAAAUGCGUAGAUAUAUGGAGGAACACCAGUGGCGAAGGAGGCUCUCUGGUCUGUAACUGACGCUGAGGCUCGAAAGCGUGGGGAGCAAACAGG
rnacentral:rRNA from 1 species